GGGAGCUAGGGCUUCGGCAAGGCUGGGUUUUGAGUUCGGAGGGAGGCCAUAUAGAUUCCGCACGACCCUUGCCGUUCGACAAGGGUUUUGUUUAAAAGUUUCGACGGCUGGGCUUCGGUGGUGUGACGGCUGAGCCGUGUCUUUCUUUUCUUUAGCCGUGACUUUUUAAAUUGUCGAGUCUUGGAGAUUCGAAUUGGCCAUUGAAGCUGGGUUUAGCAAGGGCAGAUUCGGCAAGGAGAUUGAGCCCUUGGGCUUUUGUCAAACCUUGGACUUGAACGGCUUGUGAGCUGGGCUAUUCGUAGGGGCUGGGCCAUAGGUGUAUUUGUUGGGGCUGCGCCGUGGGUGUUUAGUCCCCCUGAUGUUUCAGCUGGAGUGGAUUUGGAGCUAGAACAUCGGCACGGCUGGAGUAGGCCUGAAGUUGGACUUUUUCAAUCCUUGGAGCCGUCAAGGCUUGGGCUUCGGCAAGACUAGGAGUUGGGUCUCCGUGGGCAAGGUACAAGGAUUUUGAGAGGGAAAUUGGAAGGGUGGUAGGGUUUUCUCGUGAACCAAGGCAUUGGUAC